AACAAGUGCAGGUCGAUGAAUUUGCAAUUAGAUGCAGCUGUAGUUGCAGUUAGCUCUACAAGUGUAGAUAAUUUUGCUGUUAUUCUUGCUCCGUCUGCUGCACAGGACUUUUGACAAAUUUUCCCCCCUUUUUCUUCAUUUAGUGUGCUUAUGGUUAAAUAUUGGCACUCUCUAGUUAUGUAUUCCAAGAUUGUUCUUUCAAAAUUGUUGUUAUUGUAUACUCUCUUUUCUUUUUUUGGCAUGGCUUGAAUUGUUUGCAAAUCAUCUGUUACUCUUCAAGUCCAGAUAUGUUACUGCAAAUCAAGAAACAUACAUGGGAUUGAUGACUGUCUGCAAACUUUGUACUAUAUCUGCAAAAAAAAAAGAAGUGCAGGUGGAUGAAUUUGCGAAUAGAUGCAACUUUAGUUACUGUUUGCAGCUAGCUCUACACGUGCAGAUGAUGCCAGGCUGCUGCUUUUGCUCCGUUAGCUAUGAAACAACAAACAAGAAGCUCAUAAAAAAUGCAACAACUUUUCCUCAAAUAAUAUGAUACAUCAUGGGGAGCUAUCACCUAGGGGAAUUGCAUCACAGACUGUCAGGGGAGGUUUAAUUUAAGUUGUGGCCUAAAGCCAAACUUCAAUAAAAGGCCUUAAUUUUUUCGUUAAAUAUAAACCUUUAAUAUUUAUGAUUAAUAACUCUUAUAAUUGAUUUCUUUUAAAAGAAUCUUUCCAAUUGAUACCAUAGCUAAUCCACUUUGGUUAUCCAAAAAGGUAACCAAUCCAUUUAUUCAUUGUUGAUCUUAGAUAAAAUUUUAUUAAUUUUAAUUUUGAAAAAGUCGUUUUUUACUGAGGCAGCAGUUAUAUGAAUUGUUAGUUGGAAUAGAAUGAAUUUUUUUUUAUUUGAUUGAAUAUAUCAAUUAAAGUAUUAGUUUCUAAACUAUUUUCCCUAACACUUUUAAUUUGGAAAAUAAGUCUUAACCAUAAAUAUGUAACGACCCGAGCGGUCAUUUUGAGCAUUUGUACUUCGCUCGGUGGUUUAAGGGUAUGAGUAGCUCCGUAUGACGUAUUACGACUUGUCUGUAUCUUCGGUUUCGGUUUUCUGGUGAUUCGGAAUUAGUUUGGAAGAAUGAAUUUCAUUGUUGAAACUUUAUUGUUGGACUUAGGCAUAUGCCCGGAUUCGCAUUUGGAUAUUUCUAGUAGGUUUUGGCACAUUUUGGCAAAAAUGAGAAAGUUGAAGGUUUGGAAGGUUGAGAGGUUUGACCGGGAGUUGACUUUAUUGAUAUCGAGUUUGGAUUUCGAUUCCGGGAGUUUGUAUAGCUCCGUUGUGUCAUUUGAAACUUGCAUGCAAAAUUUGACGUCAUUCCGGAUUGAUUUGAUAUGAUUCGGCGCGAGUUGUAGAAGUUGAAAGUUCAUAAGUUCGAUUUGAGGCGCGAUUCGUAGAUUUGAUGUUGUUUGAUGUGAUUUGAGGCCUUGAGCAGGUCCGCGUUAUGUUAUAGAUCUUGUAGGUAUGUCUGUACGGCUGGAGACUUCAAGGUAUACCUGCUCGACGUUCGCAGGUCUCGAAGUCACCUUCUG
rnacentral:lncRNA from 1 species